AGCCUUCUGUAUCCGUGCUGAGAUUUCGUUACACAUCAAACCACAAAAGCUGGUGACACUUCCAAGAUAAGUGAAGCA
rnacentral:pre_miRNA from 1 species